rnacentral:rRNA from 1 species
CACGUAGGGUGCGAGCGUUGUCCGGAAUUAUUGGGCGUAAAGAGCUCGUAGGCGGUGUGUCGCGUCGGCCGUGAAAACCUGCAGCUUAACUGUGGGCGUGCGGUCGAUACGGGCAUCACUGGAGUUCGGCAGGGGAGACUGGAAUUCCUGGUGUAGCGGUGAAAUGCGUAGAGAUCGGGAGGAACACCAGCGGCGAAGGCGGCAAACUGGAUAGGCACUGACACUCAACAACGAAAGCGUGGGGGAGCAAACAGG